UGCCAGCAGCCGCGGUAAUACGGAGGGGACUAGCGUUGUUCGGAAUUACUGGGCGUAAAGAGUACGUAGGCGGCUAGACAAGUUGGGUGUGAAAGCCCAGGGCUCAACCCUGGAACUGCACUCAAAACUGUUUAGCUAGAGAUCGGAAGAGGUAAGUGGAAUUCCCAGUGUAGAGGUGAAAUUCGUAGAUAUUGGGAAGAACACCGGUGGCGAAGGCGGCUUACUGGUCCGAGACUGACGCUGAGGUACGAAAGCGUGGGGAGCAAACAGGAUUAGAUA
rnacentral:rRNA from 1 species